rnacentral:rRNA from 1 species
AUUGAACGCUGGCGGCAGGCCUAAUACAUGCACGUCGUACGAGUGGCGGACGGGUGAGUAAUGUCUGGGAAACUGCCUGUUGGAGGGUGAUAACUACUGGAAACGGUAGCUAAUACCGCAUACCAUCGGAUGUGCCCAGAUGGGAUUAUCUAGUAGGUGGGGUAAAGGCUCACCUAGGCGACGAUCCCUAGCUGGUCUGAGAGGAUGACCAGCCACACUGGGAAGGAGACACGGUCCAGACUCCUGCGGGAGGAAGCAGUGGAGAAUAUUGCACGAUGGGCGCAAGCCUGAUGGAGCCAUGCCGCGUGUAUGAAGAAGGCCUUCGGGUUGUAAAGUACUUUCAGCGGGGAGGCGUUACCCGCAGAAGAAGCACCGGCUAACUCCGUGCCAGCAGCCGCGGUAAUAC